rnacentral:rRNA from 1 species
ACUCCUACGGGAGGCAGCAGUGGGAGUAUUGCAUCAAUGGGAACCGGACUGNAGCCAUGCCGCGUGUGUGAAGAAGGCCUUCGGGUUGUAAAGCACUUUCAGUAGGGAGGAAGGUAGUGUAGUUAACACCUGCAUUAUUUGACGUUACCUACAGAAGAAGCACCGGCUAACUCCGUGCCAGCAGCCGCGGUAAUACGGAGGGUGCGAGCGUUAAUCGGAAUUACUGGGCGUAAAGCGCAUGCAGGCGGCCUGUUAAGUCAGAUGUGAAAGCC